AGACCACCCCAAGGACACGAUCCAAAUUCAUUGCAUUCUAAGUGUGAGUCCCUCAACUGUCAAAUUAGCAUAAAACUAACCUCUCACAGCUGUACUUCUUAUAUAUCACCUAAAAUUAGUGCCUGCUGGAAGUGUCUUUAAUAUCUAAGAGAACAUAGCAUACAACUGUCUUAAAUUUUGUGUUCUAAUGAGUAUCAGCAACUACACAUUUCAGUUGAUAUUUUAGAAAACAAGUAUGGUGUUGAAAAUGAUCAAGACUAUGAUAACAUAACAUACCACUGGCUUGCUAGAACUAACUUUAACCUUUUCACCAUAUUUUUUGCAUCAACAAAUGCAGUCAUUCAGAAUUGGGGCUUUGAGUACAGAAUAGGCAACAAAGAAGUGAGACAGGUAUGCCAAUAGGUGUUCUUAGGAAAGAGUUAGGUAAUUGGAAUAAGCAAUCUAUUAAUUAAAAAUGCUUUCCAAAAUGAACAAUGUGAUCUGACUUUCUUGCUGAGUUAUUACCAGGUUCUUUUCAGUUCUUAAGGCAUUUUCGUUACUCUGUUUAACAACAAAUGUGGGCCAGUUGCUGUGAGUUAAUUGAAAAGGAUUGUUUUCUAGUUGCCAAGAAACGGGGCUUUCUUACAUUAUGCAGGCCAUUAUGUGCACAGAUCAAGCUUCCUGAUUUUCUUUCAGGGUUUAAGAAUAUAGGCUGCUGUGAUUUAGUUGUCCCUUGAGGAGAGGAGCACAUAUCAAGAAGGCUUUCAGGAGUGUUGUUCCAUUUCAAUUUACCAGGCAGAGUUAGUGAUAGAGAGACAGAGAGAAAGGUCUUCCUUUUCCUUUUCCGUUGGUUCACCCCUCAGUGGCUGCUGUGGCCGGCGUGCUGCGCCGAUCCGAGGCCAGGAGCCAGGUGCUUCCUCCUGGUCUCCCAUGUGGGUCUCCAAGUGCUUGGGCCAUCCUCCACUGCCUUCCCGGGCCACAGCAGAGAGCUAGACUGGAAGAGGAGCAACCGGGACAAGAACCUGGGGUGCCAGCGCCACAGGCGGAGGAUUAGCCAAGUGAGCCACGGCACCAGACUACUACUUUUAGUUUUAUUAAGACUAUACACUUGCUUCCAGCUCCCUGCUGAUGCACCUGGGAAAGCAGUGGAAGAAGGUAUAAGUGCAUGGGCCCCUGCUAACAACAUGGGAGACGGAUGGAUUUGCAGGCUCCUGGCCCAGGUGCAGACUUUGAAGUCAUUUGGGGAGUGAAUCAGUGGAUGAAAAAUCUUUUUCUCUCUCAAUUUCGUCUCUUUGUCUCUCUCUGCUUGAAACUCUGCCUUUCAGAUAAUUAAAAUAAAAAAUUUUUAAAAUAUAUUGGAAAAUAAAUUAGCUGUUAUUCUAAACUGCAUUCUCUGUUAGUGUACUACAAUUACGUGGGUCUGCCCUGCCCUCUGUUUGGAUAAACUUAAGAACCUUCAAGAAUAUAAUGAUUAUCUGCAGUUACAAAUACAUUGCAGUGUGUAUCUGUUGGCUGAGUGUGAAUCAUUUUGGGUUGUUUUGCUAUGGUGUUAAAUGCUAGUGUAAGCUGAAAGAAAAUGGAUUUAUGAUAAUAAUAUCUUUACUGUAAAUACUGAUCAAACAAAUCCACAUCAGAGACUGUCCCUACUGUUAGCAAAAAGCAUACAUGAAGUGACAUAAUGACUGAGAUGGUUUAGAGAGAACACUUUAAAAAAUGUGGUGUAUCUUUAAUGUCUUUAAGAAUUGUUUUGCUCACCAAGGACAGAGAACAAGGAGGGAGGUAGAGAGAAAAUGUUGACUGGCCUUAUCUAACAAGAAACUGAAAUAAUGUUACCAAGCUUACAUUUUCACUCUAAAAUAAUGUAUAUUCAAAUCAUUGUCUUCUGUUCUGAAAUGUGAAAGUUAUUCAUCAUAAAUUGAUUUCAGAGUCCCUAGGGGAAAAGCAAUUAACGUGUUUUCUAGGUUUUCACCUGACAAAUUGUACAACAGGGAGAUAAAAUCUGGGAAGUUGCUCAACUGAACUAAUUUGUUUAACACCUGAUAUUAAAUAUUUGAUUAAAUUUUGCUUACCAAACUCAGUUUGGAAAUAGUUGAAAAUGUUCAUUUCAGCAUAUCUCAGACAUGAAAUGUGCUUUCAGAUUGUCACUAGAUUGAUCUAUAUAGAAAAAGGUAUAUAACUUUAGGAUAUGUCAGAUUUAAUACUGUUGGUAUCUGGGAGUUUUCUGAGGCAUUUGGAGGUGCUGAGGCAUCUAGAAUGAGCUAUGGAGUGGCAGUAAGAAUUCCACUGGCUUCUGGUUCCAGUUCUACCAAUAACUAGUUUGGUGAGCUUGGGCAGGUCAUGUGAUCUCCUUUAGCUUUGGAUUUCUUUCUUUGUAAAGGAGGGGCUGGGCUCUGAUUUCUAUGGUCAAUUAAAUAUCUAAGGUCAAUAAAAUUUCUAAGGUCAAUUAAUGAAAUCAUGUGAUCUUUCUAGAUGUUUCUUUCAAACUACACUUUGCUUAUUUAUUUGUGUCUUACAGGUAUUACUGGACCUUAUCCAGUCAUAGCUUCAGCAAACAAUACUGCCACAGAAAGGCUACUUGCGUCAUUCAAUUAUAUUUUUUCACACUCAAACAAUACCUGGCAAAUAAAGAAAGUUUUCUAAAUUGUGACUGGCACAAUCAUACUUGGUCAGCUGUGCUGAGAAUUGAAGCAAACUAUAUAAAUAUUUAGGGCACAGAAUGAAGAUGAGGCCUGAUCUGCUUUUACCUGCAUGGUGAACCAAACAUGUUAUAAAUUGUGGACAUGGGACAAAGGCCAAAAUCCAGCAACUUCAGUACUCUCAUUUGGCUUUUCCACUAGAAUGCACAAAUACACCACAACUUUUUCUAGCUCUCUUGCUCCUGAAUCUUCUAUUGCAUUUACCACCAUACUCCAAUUCUAUUCCUGGGCUCCCUUGUUUCUUUGACAUUAUCCACUCUUCUACUGUGUCUCUCAUUCUCAUUCCCAUAGCUUAACUUUAGCCACAAUAAAAUAUGUAUUUUUAAAUCUUGUUGUUUUUUGUAUACUGAAUUUUCCUCUCAGAAUUUUCUUAAUUUGUCAUUAAUAUAUGGACAGCUCCCAAAUUUAUAUUUUUACCUUGUAUCACUUUUGUACAGAUAAAACUGCCCACAGACUAAAUUCUUAUUCAGUAAUUCAUGUAUUAAAAAGAACCCAUAACAUGAAAUGAUUCUUUAGGUAAGAUGAGAUGCAUGAAGGAUAUUGUUUAAAUAUGUCAUUUCUAGAAAGUGGUCUGUGACAUGUCUCAAUAUUUGCUGCAUAUUUAGAAAGCAUUCUCAGUUUUAUAUAGGACUAACUCAGAAGUUAUAUUUUAUAGAGUUAAUUUUUUAUGAUUCAGAAGUUAUUUAGGAGAAAUAGAAUAUAAGAAUAAGACUUGUAGGGUUUUAGAAUAUAUUUUCAAUUAAAAGGAAUCUUACUCUUGCAGGUAAACAAGAAGCUUCUGGUGUGCUAGUUUCUUGAGACUGCUCUCAUGCAUGUCAUAAAAUUACUCAGACUUUUCUUUCUACUUUAGAAACCUAAAGCAUACUCUAUGUCUCCAGCCCAAACCAGCUUUCUCCAUUUAUGUUUAUAAUAGUGUCAUUCCCCAGGUCACCCAGCCUUAAAAAAUACAGAAAGUCAUGGCUUUCCCCUUUCCUCUUCUCUACUUGUAUGCACUCUCUUUACUUUCAAAACCACGUCUCUGCAUCUCUUCUGCACCCACCCAACUCAAUGUUCUCAUAACCUGCAAUAUUGCAAGUCUACUAGCUGUAGUCUCAAUUCAAGAACCCCUUUCUAAAUCUCCACUGAAACUUACCAAUUUCAUCUUUGUCAGCAUUUUAUAUGAUACUUCUAUAUCAUUAGCAACUUUCUAAGACUACAGAAUGAAGUCUAAAUGCUUCACAUACAAGACCCACCAUAAACAAUCUGAUCUCUUCAAGAAAAGUUAACUUCUAUGUUUAGAAAAGGAAAAAGAUGGUUUAGAACUGAAAAUCAGCACUCUGGCCUCAUAAUCAGCCCUUAAGGCAUGCGGAUCCAGCUGAAAUGUCCAUGAGAGUAUUUCAGGCAUGGAAAGCCAAGACACUCUGGCCAAAAAAAAAAAAAAAACUAAAUGAAAGAUCUCCACGAGUGAGAUCCCAGUGGAAAGAAUGGGUCAUCAAAGAAGGAGGUACCUUUCUCUGAAGGGAGGAGAGAACUUCCACUUUGACCAUGGCCUUGUCUAAAUAUGAUCAGAGUCAGUGAACUCAGGGGGCUUCCAUAGCCUUGGCAGCUCAUGACAAGAGCCUAGGUUGAUUGCUGAUGCCAUAAACAAGAGUGUCAAUUUGUUAAGUCAACAACAGGAGUCACUGUGCACUUACUCCUCAUGUAGGAUCUUUGUCCUUAGUGUGCUGUACAUUGAGAUUUAAUGCUAUAACUAGUACUCAAACAGUAUUUUUCACUUUAUGUUUCUGUGUGGGAGCAAACUGUUGAAAUCUUUACUUCAUGUAUGCUAAACUGAUCUUCUGUAUAUAAAGAGAAUCGAAAAUGAAUCUUGAUAUGAAUGGAAGGGGAGAGGGAGUGGAUAAGGGGAGGAUUGCGGGUUGGAGGGACGUUAUGGGGGGGAAGCCAUUGUAAUCCAUAUUCUGUACUUUGGAAAUUUAUAUUCAUUAAAUAAAAGUUAAAAAAAAGAAAAGGAAAAAAAUAGUUUAGAACUGAGAAAUCUAGAGAACUUUUGAUACUUAGUAUAGAUUAUUUCUUAUUUAAUCUGUCAACAGGUGUGUUUAAAGAUUAUCUUAUUUUGCAGUCAAACAAAAAUUAAGAAUACAACUAUGGAAAAGGACUUUUAGAGCAAAUAUAUUGAGGAAGGGAAUACAAGCAUACUUCAAAAGGUUAAUGGAGAACUUAAAAGAUAAGUUUAUUUUGGUGCAAAAAAUGUUAUCCAUGCACUUUUUCCCCCACAAUAUACAUUUUUCAUGAAAUUUUGAAGACCUCUCAUGAACAUCGAUUUCAAAAUUUUUGUACCAAAAGAAACAUCCUUUAUACUCCUUUUCCAUGAACUUUUUGAAGUAACCUCCUAUGAAUGGCAGAAAGCAAAAGGAUCUGGGUUCCUUUUUUGAGUGAGCCCAGGGUCUCCUAGAAAAUAACAAAGGUGGGGAACAUCUGACCACAAAAUUAUUUGUUCUGACCUGCCUAGGCAACUUUAGGCAGGACUCAAAAUUCAAUGAAUCUAUAGCAGGCUAAUUUUUAAGCUGAUAAUUCUGUAUGGCCUGCAAAUGAUGUUAUAAAUAUCCAAAUGGCCCUUAGCAGAAAAGUUUUCCCACUCCUACAAAGCACAAGAUAGAAACAUCUAGAAUGAGAGCAUUUGGUGUCAGGCUCAGACUAGACAUAAAGGAAGACUUUAAUGUGCUUGUGCAUUAAGGCCUAAGAGAAAAGACUUAUAGAAUAAAGACUUACUAUGAUCCUUUAAAAAUCUAUCAAAUUUAUUUGAAAUCUAUUCUCAGAAUUACUGCAUGUGAGACUUUAUGGAAGCUGAAAAUAGAUAAUGAUACUUAAUGUCAUCAAAUAGAAUUGGUGACUCAAUCCAACUACUUGAAACAAAGUAAAAUAUGGUAUAGAUCUUACAAAUGACUGCCCAGGUCCAAAUCCUGGUUAUGCCCUUAUUCGCUGUAUAUCCUUAAGCAAGUUACUUUAUUUUUCCUGUGUUUCAGUUUCCUUAACUACAAAAUAUAGACAAUAAUACAAUAUUGUACGGUGCUUGAAAAGGCACCAAGUACAUAUUUGAGUACUUGUUCACAAACCUGUACAGUGAGCAGUAUUAUACCUGUUUGAAAAGAUAACAAAUCUAUGCCAUAGAGAGAUUGGGACUUGCUAAAAGUAACACUGCUGCUAAGUGCUAUAAACCUGUGCAACUCUAAAACCUUUACUCUUUCUCCACACUGCCUUAUUGCUAUGUAUUGCUGAAAAUGAAAGAAUAGAUAGGACAUAGGAUCUACCUUCAAGGACAACACUAUAAUACAGAAAAAAGCAAGACACGGAUGAACAAUUCUGCAUAAGUGUUCAAGUUACAAUGGUAUUGUGGAAUGUAAUCUUGCCUUGAAGGGAUAGAGAUGACUUCUACAGAAAUUUACAGCUAAACCAUAUCUUGAAGUGUGAGUAGAAAUUAGGUCACUAGCUGCGGUUGGGUAGAAAGCACUCUAAACAGAGGGGAAACAGCAGGGAAAUGAGUGGAGAGGAUGCUGAACACACCAAGGUGCAAAGGCCGUGAAAGGGCACAGAAUUCUGGUGCUUGCAAUAGGCCAGCUCUGCUAGAAUAUGGAAUGUGGAGUAGGGAUGAGGCCUGAUUUUAAAAGGACAAAGUCAGUGUGGUUCUGUUCUACCAGCUGUGGAACUACAAAUCAAGCAGUAGAGGCAACACUACCUGCAACAAUCAGUAUGCUUAUUGGAUAUAUAGGCUGGUGCUUACUGGUAUUGAAUCAUGGGUUAAAGUCCUUUUAAAUACAAUAUAUGCCUCAGACCUAAGGUGAUCAGAUCUGUCUAUAGGUGGUAUAUACUUUCCAAGGAAAAUAACCUCUUAACAAUUGAAAAAAAUAUCUCUUACUUCCCACUUCCAGGUAUUCUUUCUUAAGGAAACUUAUGUAUGUUAAAAUUGCAUGUUUAAAUUUCUUUGUUUCUAAUGGUAAAGCAUCUUUAGUACUUAUUGUGUGAAAAAUAUAUUUUUAGUGCUUUAUUCUAACAGUUCCCAUGGUAGUAGACUAGUAUCCUAGAGAUGGGCUACAGAGAAGUGUUGGUAUAAGAAGCACUUUAAACUCCAUUCCUUUUUUAAAAAUUUUAUUUAAGUUAUAUAAGUUUCGUGUAUGUUGUAUAUACAUAAUUAGGAACGCAGUGAGACUUCCAACCCUACCCUCCCUCCCAUGCAUGAUCCAACCCUUCUUUUUCCUCCCUCUCCCAUUCCUAAAUUUUUACAAAGAUCUACUUUCAGUUUACUUCAUGAUCAUAAAGUUAACCUUAUACUAAGAAAAAGAGAUCAACAAAUGGUAUGAAGAAAAAAAAAAAGACACUGUUCCUCAACAGAAAAGACAAUGGCUAUAAACAUCAUCAAAUCUAAAAUGUCCAUUUCACUCCAAUACAUUACAUUUCAUGUACUCUAUUAGUUACCUUGGACCAAGGAAAACUAUCAGUCUUUUGGGGACUGGCUUAUUUAACUAAGUAUAAUGGCUUAGUUGCAUCUAUUUUGUUGUAAAAGAUAGGAUUUCAUUUUUUUUUUUUUUUACAGCUGAGUAUAUAUGCACUGCUCCAUAGUGUAGAUAGACCAUAAUUUCUUUGUCAGUAGACAUAAACUCCAUUAUUUAAAAUAGAUUUCUUAUCAGUGGGAUUCAAUAGUCAGUACAAGUUUACUAUUAAAAGGGUUAUUAAGAAGUAAUAAAAAUAUAAGCCUAGUAGGGCACCUUAACAAAUUUCAGCAUAAUAUGUUUUAACUCUUAAAGAUAACUUCAUACAUGGUAAAAGUACUUCAUUUAAUGCCUUCUUGUAUAGUUUGUGGUAAAGUUAUCUGCAUGAUCCCAGUAUGUUGAAAAACUACAUAUUUUAACAAUAUUAAAAUCUGAGACUGUUAAAACUCCUGGGAUGUAAUAAUCUUUUACCGAUGAAGUAUGUAGUAAGAGUCAGGUGCUUGGUAAGCACUAGGAAGACAUAGCUGUGACCAGGAAAAAAAUUUAUAUGGAUUAAAAACAUAAAAUAACAGGGCUGGUAUUGUGGCACAAUGAGGGAACUACCUGAGAUGCUGGCAUUCCGUAUGAGCACCAGUGUAAGUCCCAGCUGCUCUGUUUCUGGUCCAGCUUCCUGACAAUGUAUCUGGAAAGACAAUGAACACAUUUGUGGAGUGAACCAGAGGAUGGAAGAUCUCUUUUCUCUCUGUCUCGCCCUCUCUGCCACUCUGCCUUUCAAAUAAAUAAUAAUCUUUUUUUCUUAAAAAAGAUAGAGUGAAACCUCUCUGUCAACCCUUAAAAACAUAAAAUAACCAUGAUGUAAUAUGAUAUUUAGUAAAAUAGAAGUAUGUAUCAAAUACUUAUAGACUUGAGAAUCAAGAGAAGACAUUCCUAACUUGGAGGAAAAAAAAAAAAAACCUGAUAAUUAAGCAAUUCGGUACAAAUUUUUUUACCCAGUAACCAGACUUGGGAAGGUUGAGUCAUUUAUAUAGAUCAGAAAAACAUCUGAUUAGCAUUAACUUGCCUAGUGUUUGAUCCUAAUUCAAAUGAUAAUACUGAAAUUAUUAGUAGUUCUCUUAUCUUUUAAAACAACUUGGCCUCCCUUAGAAGCAUUUUAAAAAGCAAAUUAUGCAACAUUCACCUGGGAAACUAGAAAAGUUUCCUUAGCUUAUAUACUAUCUUUCAGUCAAGUCACUAUCUAAAGUAUGACGGCAUUCCUGUGAGCACUUACUGUGGCUUAUAUAAUUUUUUUCAAUUAAGAUUCUUCUGAGGGGCUGGCACUGUGGCUCAGCAAGUUAAAGCCACGGCCUGCAGCACUGGGAUCCCAUAUGGCUGCCAGUUCAAGCCCCAGCUGCACCACUUCCAUACAGCUCCCCACUAAUAUGCCUGGGAAAGCAAUGGGAUAUGGAACAAGUGUUUGGGCCCCUGCCACUUACAUGGGGGACCCAGAAGAAACUCCUGGUUCCUGAUUUGGCCUGGCCCAGCCUAGCUGUUGUUGUGAUCUGUGGCAUGAACCAGCAGAUGGAACUCUCUCUGUCUCUGUCUCUUUCUUUCUCUCUGUAAAUCUGCCUUUCAGAUAAAUAAGUAAAUCUUCAAAUAUUCUUUUGAGACUUGAAAAUGUACAAAACAUUUCUUACAAACUGUGAAGAGUUUUUUUUUUUGGUUGCUUUUAUUUUUUUUGUUGUUGUUGAUGAUAUUUUCCCCAAAGAAACAUUUUAUUUAAUGAGUACAAAUUUAAUAAGUACAACUUUAGGAAUAUAGUGAUUCUUCCAACCAUACUUGCCCUCCCACCCCACUUCCUCCACCCUCUCCCAUUCCAAAUCCCAUUAUCCAUUCAGAAAACAAAAACAAAACAAAAAACAAUUGUUCCUCAACAGUCAAGACAAGAGCCGCUCAAGUCAUUGCUUCUCAAAGUGUCAAUUUCAUUUCUACAGAUUACCUUUUAGGUGCUCUAUUAAUUAUCACAGAUAAGGGAGAAUGGUAUUUGUCCCUUUGGGACUGGCUUAUUUCACUAAGUAUGGGGUAUUUUCCAGAUUCAUCCACUUUAUUGCAAAUGAUUAGAUUUCUUUUUUUUUUACCACUGUGUAGUAUUCCAUAGAGAACAUAUCCCAUAAUUUAUGUAUCCAGUCUUCAGUUGACAGGCAUUUUGGUUGAUUCCAUGUCUUAGUUAUUGUGAAUUGAGCUGCAAUAAGUAUAGGGGUAUAGAUAACUCUUUUAUUUGCUGGUUUCACUUCCUGUGGGUAAAUUUUCAGAAAUGGUUUUGGUUGGGUCAUAUGGUAGGUCUAUAUUCAGAUUUCUGAGGUAUCUCCAAACUGAUUUCCAUAUUGGUUUUACCAGUUUACCUUCCCACCAACAAUGGAGUGGGGAACCUUUUUCCUCACAUCCUAGCCAGCAUUUGCGGUUUGUUGAUUUCUAUAUGAAAGCCAUUCUAACUGGUAUAAGGUGGAACCCUGUUGUGGUUUUGAUUUCAAUUUCCCUGAUGGCUAGUGAGGCUAGUGAUCCUGAACACUUUUUCAUGUGCCUGCUGGCCAUUUGUAUUUCCUCUUUUGAAAAACAUCUGUUUAAGUCCUUGGCCCAUCUCUUAAUUUGGUUGUUUGUUUUGUUGCUGUGGAGUUUCUUGCUCUCUUUAUGUAUUCUGAUUAUUAAUCCUUUAUCAGUUGCAUUGUUUGCAAAUAAUUUCUCCCAUUCUGUUCAUUGACUCUUCCCUUUCCUGAGUGUUUCUUUUGUAGUACAGAAGUUUCUCAGUUUGAUGUAAUACCAUUUGUUAAUUUUGGCUUUGAUUGUACCUCCAGGGUCUUUUCUAAGAAAUCUUUGCCUAUGCCAAUGGGUUCCCCAAUGUUCUCUGGUAUCAGGUUAUAGAUUUAGGUCUUUAAUCCAUUUUGAAUGGAUUUUGGUAUAAGGUGUAAGGUAAGGGUCCUGCUUCAUAUUUCUGCAUGUGGAAAUCCAGUUUCCCAGUACUAUUUGUUGAAGAGACUGUCCUUGAUUCAGGAAUUGGUUUUAGCUCCUUGGUCAAAUAUGAAUUGGUUGUAGAUGCUUGGAUUUAUUUCUGGUGUUUCUAUUCUGUUCCCUUGGAAUAGCCAUCAGUUUUUUUACCGGUACCAGGCUGUUUUAACUGCCUUGUAGUAUUUCUCUUGAAAUCUGGAAUUGUGAUGACUCCAGCUUUGUUUUUGUUGUAUAAGAUUGCUUUAGAUAUUCGAGGUCUUCUGUGUUUCCAUGUGAAUUUCAGCAUCAUUUUUUUUAACUGAGAAGAAUGUCUUUGGUAUUUUGAUUGGCAUCACAUUGAAUCUGUAAAUUGCUUUUGGAAGAUGGAUAUUUUGAU